GGAAACAAGUUAGCAUUGGUUUUCAGUGAGUUUUUAAAAUAGGGUUAAAUGCUUCAAAUAAGGUGGUUGCCAACAAGUGGCAAAAAGAAAGGAUGUUGGGAACAUUAAAUGCCAUCAGCUGAACAGAGCUUAUUUACUUCACUAAUCCAAAAGCCUGGAAAAUGGAAAAAAUCCUGUUGGGUUUUUGUCGAGGGAACCAGGAUGAUGCUACUGUAACUUCUGGGUUGGCCUACAAAAAUAUGUCAUCACUAGUACUCAUUUACUUGUAUACUCUUUUUUUAGGUGUCAAGCACCGAAGGUGUGUAGGCACCUAUUGUAUACACUAGCAUUCUUCUUCUUUUUCUUCUUCCACUCUUGAGUCUAUGGCCGCCCAUAGAACCACUUGCGGGAAAGUUAUGAAAUUUGGCACACAGAUAGACGACAGUCUGAACUGUCACCAUAGCAAAUUUGGAGUCUCUAACUCAAUCCCUCUAGCGCCACCAACUGUCCAAAUUUGCACUCAUAUUUAUGAUAACUUUUGAACCGUAAGGGCUAGAAACCAAAUUAUUUUUCCUUCAACUCCUCCUAGGCCAUUGCUCUGAUUUUCAUGAAAAUUUAACCAGAUCAUCUUCAGACCAUGCCGACAAAAAGUUAUGGUAUUCAAGUCGAUUUGUUAAACCGUUUCCGAAAAACAUGCGAACAAAUUUUACAUAGUGCUUGCGAAAAUAGACGUAAGGCUUUAUCUCCUCAACGUAUUCUGACCAAACUUGGUACAUGCCAUCACAAGCAUGACCUGAGGUUAUGUGUUGCGUUUCAGCCCAGAGCCACCUACUGGUCUGGAGAUAUGAAAAAUAAUUAUUUUUGCUUAUAACUUCUAAACAGUUUGCCCAAAAAAACGUAAAAUGCUGUAUUUUAUGAACGCAUUAGCGUAUUGUUACGAAAUUCGGUAUGGGUCUUCGGCACCAUGCACUCAAAAAGUUUUGGGGCAAAAGUUUAAAAAUGCUAAUAACUUUUGAAUAAAUUAUCCUAUUGUAAUAAAACUGGUCAUAAUAGAUCCCUUAAGUCAUGCCGAGAACAUAGAUACAAAUUUUGCCAGAUACGAACUUCUUGUCUGCCAUUUUGUUUUUCUUUGAAAACCUAAUUUUUCUAAAUCCUCCUAGACUGUUUGUCCAAUUUUCACCAAAAUUGAAUUGUAUCAUCUUCAGACCAUGCCGGCACAAAGUUAUGGAUUUCAUUAGAUGAUUUUCAACAGAUGAAACCGUUUUCAAAUACCACAGCAACAAAGUUGAGGCAUGAUGCCGAAAUGACUCUUGAGGCUGUAUCUUUCCAAUGCUUUGACAUACUGACACCAAACUUUGCAUGUGUCAUUGUCACCUCACUCUGACCACAGCACAUUAAUUUGGUCACAGCACCUCCUAUUGGUCGAAAGUGAUAAACGAUUAAAUCAUUUUUAUUGACUGUGUGAUAAUGAUUUUUCAACUAUUUUGCCAAAAAUUAUCUUAAUAGGCCUUUAAUUGUUCAUUUCGGCAGUUGGUCUGAUGCUCUCAGCCAUGUUGGCAUGACUUAUCAUGCCUUCGUUGUGCUUGGCUCCUUAAUGGCUGUUUGCAUCUACUGUAUGUUUUUAACUUUGAGUGUUUUCAUACUGACCCCUACAGGGCUAAGGAUGACAGUGCAAAGAAAGAGUCUGCUGCUUAUCUGAUGGAAUCUCAUGCUGAUCACAAAAUCAAAAAAAAAAAAAAAAAAAGCAUUAUAUGUGCAUUAUAUGAGCUUAAGGCAUAAACAUAUAGGCAGAUUGCAAAAGAAAGUCAAUAAUAAUUAUAAAUAAUAAUGCAAAGUAGUUCAUGGUUAGAGAGUUUUAUUUGUAUCUACCUUGUGGCCUCGAAGGAAAUGCACAACUUCCUGUGCCUAACAAGCAUCAACUGUCAGAAACCAAACACCUAACAUAUCUUUGAACACACAUUGAGGAUGUAAUGUUUUUCAUGGUGGAACUAUAAUAGCUGUUAAUUCAAAGACACUAUGAGUAAUUGUGUUGUUAGCAUUAUAUACAUUGAUAUACAGGCCUAUAUAUGAAAGAGGAAUAAACAACAAUUCAUAGAUAGUUUUGGGGAACUUGUUUUCCAACCACUCACCUAAAUGAGAAAAAAAAAAUACAUCAGACACUGUAUUGCUUGUUUUUCCUAGUGACAGCUAUUUGCAUACAUAUGUCAUAUGGGAGAUUAGUGAAAAUAAUAAAAUAAUACAGCAGUUACAGAAGAGCUGUCGUGGAAUAACAAAUAACACACACACAUUAGACAGAUAUAAGAUAGCAGAAACACCACUAAUAGAGGUGUAAAUGCGCACACAUGAAAAUAAGCGUGUCUUUAUGGCAUGUACUCAGAGGCAAAUGAAAACCACAAAACACAGGAAAUACAAACGAAAUACAAGCAGGCUGUUUGACCGCUUUACACUGAAUCACUCUCUUCAUCCCUCUCUUGUUUUACUACAUCUGUCCUCUCACAUCUUAUUCUCUCUGAUUGGGGUGGAAACUCUGGUUUCAGACUACACUGGCAAUUUCGGCAGUCUGCAAUUUGUGGUUGUAACUUCAGUUUUUAUACUGCGGCAGACAAACCACAUUGAGCUUGUUGGAACUAUGGGAAAUUUAAGCUGCAAGCGAAGGAAGAAGAAACCUGAAAGCGCUGAAGAUAAUGACCAUCAGAGAGAAACAACAGCAGGCACACGGACAGAAGAUGUCCUCUAUGCUUCUAUUGACCACACUACCAUCAAUCCAGAAAGGCAUAUUCAAGAUCUGGAGGACAACGAUUGUGAUUAUGCCGUUGUAAAGCUCCCUCAAAACACAACAGACAUAAGCAAGCACAAAAGCAGCGAGGACUGUUCAGAUGAUUAUGUGCUCAUGGGCUGAGCAUUGAAAUGGCUGAAAUCAGCACAUUCAACCGGAAUGGACACCUGAGAUACACAAACACAACUUUAAACGCUUGAUGACUUUGUAUUGAUGAGGUUGCAAUGAUAUUUUAUUUUAUUUUAUUUUUUUAUUAUUAUCAGAUCUGCUUUUGUCACUGCAUAUUUACAACAUGAAGUAUAACAUAUUAACUUUUUUUUUUUUUUUUUUUUAUGCAUUGUAGGUAAUAACUGCCUUUAUGUGCAUAGUGAAUAAAAGUGCAUUUUAUGUCUAUCUUCCUAUA